rnacentral:tRNA from 1 species
UCUAAUAUGGCAGAAAUAAGUGCAGUGGUCUUAAGUUCCACAUAUAAAGUUUAUUACUUUUUUUAGAA